rnacentral:rRNA from 1 species
UACAUGGGGUGCAAACGUUGCUCGGAAUUAUUGGGCGUAAAGCGCACGUAGGCGGUUCGUUAAGUCGGAUGUGAAAGCCCUCGGCUCAACUGAGGAAGUGCACCCGAAACUGGCGAGCUUGAGUACGAAAGAGGAUCGCGGAAUUCCCGGUGUAGAGGUGAAAUUCGUAGAUAUCGGGAGGAAGACCAGUGGCGAAGGCGGAUCUCUGGACAAAUCCUGACGCUGAGGCGCGAAGGCUAGGGGAGCAAACGGG